GAUUUUAUUGGUGGAACAGAGAAAGGAAAAGCAGUUAAGAAAACAAAGCUCAAGGGAAACUGAAACUAGCCUGAGAAGGAACAUACUGAGUCAGAUGGAGCCAUUUAUAUAUGGAGAUCCAGGAUUUAUAAGAUCCAUACCAUUGAAUUUGAAGUAAGGAUACGAUCAAGCUGAUAAUCCAAAGCUCACUAACUUCUAAGGAUGGAAAUGUUUCUCUGGGGCUAUCAUUGCACCCUCGCUCUCUGGAAUUUCAGUAUCAUGAGAACACAUAAGUAAGAGCCAAAAUUCAUAGGGAUUCUGCCUGGAGAGGAACACAGGGAUUCUGAAAUAACCAUGACAUACAUAAGUACCUCCAAUUAUUUGCCUCUCAGACAAAGACUGCAGCUGUUGAAAUAUGGUAAGAAAAAUGGUUCAGGGGUUUUCCCCCAUGACUCAAGACAAGCAUUUACAUUAUUUACACACUCAAUGGGCUGAAAUCCUGGGCUUUCUGGCCAGAAGGAUCUACGAGUGGGAUCGUGGGUGAGUGAAACAUGAAGAUGAUGGUGGACAGGUGAGCUACGCAGUUCGUGGAAGAACCAGGAGGGGUCACAGGGCCUAGAUGCUACCCUAGAUGAGAAAGAGUCCAAUGGUUAUCAACAAGUUCUGAAAGGCAAGGCCUGAGGUACUGAAAAUUAUAUUACUCAAAGCUGAAGGCAGCAAAUCUGUUCAUGUUUACACAGUUGGGAAAGUGGACUUGUGU
rnacentral:lncRNA from 1 species